rnacentral:rRNA from 1 species
GAUGAACGCUGGCGGCGUGCCUAAUACAUGCAAGUCGAGCGAACAGACGAGGAGCUUGCUCCUCUGACGUUAGCGGCGGACGGGUGAGUAACACGUGGAUAACCUACCUAUAAGACUGGGAUAACUUCGGGAAACCGGAGCUAAUACCGGAUAAUAUAUUGAACCGCAUGGUUCAAUAGUGAAAGACGGUUUUGCUGUCACUUAUAGCUGGAUCCGCGCCGCAUUAGCUAGUUGGUAAGGUAACGGCUUACCAAGGCAACGAUGCGUAGCCGACCUGAGAGGGUGGUCGGCCACACUGGAACUGAGACGCGGUCCAUACGCCUACGGGAGGCAGCAGUAGGGAAUCUUCCGCAGUGGGCGAAAGCCUGACGGAGCAACGCCGCGUGAGUGAUGAAGGUCUUCGGAUCGUAAAACUCUGUUAUUAGGGAAGAACAAAUGUGUAAGUAACUAUGCACGUCUUGACGGUACCUAAUCAGAAAGCCACGGCUAACUACGUG